rnacentral:rRNA from 1 species
UAGAGUUUGAUCAUGGCUCAGAUUGAACGCUGGCGGCAGGCUUAACACAUGCAAGUCGAGCGGGGGAGAUUGCUUCGGUAAUUGACCUAGCGGCGGACGGGUGAGUAAUACUUAGGAAUCUGCCUAUUAAUGGGGGACAACAUCUCGAAAGGGAUGCUAAUACCGCAUACGCCCUACGGGGGAAAGCAGGGGAUCACUUGUGACCUUGCGUUAAUAGAUGAGCCUAAGUCGGAUUAGCUAGUUGGUGGGGUAAAGGCCUACCAAGGCGACGAUCUGUAGCGGGUCUGAGAGGAUGAUCCGCCACACUGGGACUGAGACACGGCCCAGACUCCUACGGGAGGCAGCAGUGGGGAAUUUUGGACAAUGGGGGCAACCCUGAUCCAGCAAUGCCGCGUGAGUGAAGAAGGCCUUCGGGUUGUAAAGCUCUUUUGUCAGGGAAGAAACGGUAGUAGCGAAUAACUAUUACUAAUGACGGUACCUGAAGAAUAAGCACCGGCUAACUACGUGCCAGCAGCCGCGGUAAU